rnacentral:RNase_P_RNA from 1 species
UCCGGGGGAAGCUCACCGCCGAGGCCACCCACGGGGUGCCCGUCACCCGCCGGCCACGCCUCGGGGAAGGUCUGAGGGAAGGGCCGCCCGCGGCCCCAGCAGGGCCCCGCCCGCGCGGGCGGGUGAGCCACCAGCAAGGGGGGGCGCCGCGCUGGGCCGGCCUGGGCAGGAGAAGCUGGGAGCGGGGCGCGGGGGGCGCCGUCCCCCCAGCCACCCCCGCCCCGGCGGAUGCUCGUGGCCCCGCGGUGCUUUGAGACAGACUCACGGCCGGCGCGCUGAGUCCAAUGGGUGAGGUGGGGCACGGCCCCACAACCCAAUUCAGACUACUCUCCCCCGGG